rnacentral:rRNA from 1 species
GAUAGUAGCAAAUAUUCAAAUGAGAACUUUGAAGGCCGAAGUGGGGAAAGGUUCCAUGUGAACGGCACUUGCACAUGGGUUAGUUGAUCUUAAGAGUGGGGAGUAGCCUGUCCGAGAGCGCUGCUAGCGCAAGCUUCGAAAGGGAAUCUGGUUAAAAUUCCUGAACCGGGACGUGGCGGUGGACGACAACGUUAGGGAGUCCGGAGACGUCUUCGGGGGCCUCGGGAAGAGUUAUCUCUUCUGUUUAACAGCCUGCCCACCCUGGAAACAGCUCAGCUGGAGGUAGGGUCCAACGGCUGGAAGAGCACCGCACGUCCAGUGGUGUUCGAUGUGCCCCCGAUGGCUCGUGAAAAUCCAGAGGAGAGAGUGCCGCCCACGCCCGAUCGUACUCAUAACCGCAUCAGGUCUCCAAGGUGAACAACCUCUGGUC